UACGUAGGUGGCGAGCGUUGUCCGGAUUUACUGGGCGUAAAGAGCGCGCAGGCGUCGAGUCAGUCGAAUGUGAAAGCCCCCGGCUCAACUGGGGAGGGUCAUUCGAUACUGCUCGACUUGAAGGCAGGAGAGGGAAGCGGAAUUCCCGGUGGUAGUGGUGAAAUGCGUAGAUAUCGGGGAGGAACACCAGUGGCGAAGGCGGCUUUCUGGCCUGUUCUUGACGCUGAGG
rnacentral:rRNA from 1 species